rnacentral:rRNA from 1 species
CCUACGGGUGGCAGCAGUGAGGAAUAUUGGUCAAUGGACGCGAGCCUGAACCAGCCAAGUAGCGUGCAGGAUGACGGCCCUACGGGUUGUAAACUGCUUUUAUAAAGGGAUAAAGUGAGUCACGUGUGGCUUAUUGUAUGUACUUCAUGAAUAAGGAUCGGCUAACUCCGUGCCAGCAGCCGCGGUAAUACGGAAGGUCCGGGCGUUAUCCGGAUUUAUUGGGUUUAAAGGGAGCGUAGAUGGGUUCUUAAGCCAGUUGUGAAAUGUUGCGGCUCAACCGUAACACUGCAGUGGAUACUGGCAGGCUUGAGUACAGUGGAGGUAGGCGGAAUUCGUGGUGUAGCGGUGAAAUGCUUAGAUAUCACGAAGAACUCCGAUUGCGAAGGCAGCUUACCAAACUGCCACUGACAUUGAUGCUCGAAAGUGCGGGUAUCAAACAGGAUUAGAUACCCGAGUAGUC